rnacentral:rRNA from 1 species
AUUGAACGCUGGCGGCAGGCCUAACACAUGCAAGUCGAGCGGAUGAAGGGAGCUUGCUCCUGGAUUCAGCGGCGGACGGGUGAGUAAUGCCUAGGAAUCUGCCUGGUAGUGGGGGAUAACGUCCGGAAACGGGCGCUAAUACCGCAUACGUCCUGAGGGAGAAAGUGGGGAUCCUCGGACCUCACGCUAUCAGAUGAGCCUAGGUCGGAUUAGCUAGUUGGUGGGGUAAAGGCCUACCAAGGCGACGAUCCGUAACUGAUCUGAGAGGAUGAUCAGUCACACUGGAACUGAGACACGGUCCAGACUCCUACGGGAGGCAGCAGUGGGGAACAUUGGACAAUGGGCGAAAGCCUGAUCCAGCCAUGCCGCGUGUGUGAAGAAGGUCUUCGGAUUGUAAAGCACUUUAAGUUGGGAGGAAGGGCAGUAAGUUAAUACCUUGCUGUUUUGACGUUACCAACAGAAUAAGCACCGGCUAACUUCGUG